GAUGAACGCUGGCGGCGUGCUUAACACAUGCAAGUCGAACGAAGAAGCCCAGCUUGCUGGGUGGAUUAGUGGCGAACGGGUGAGUAACACGAGAGUAACCAGCCCUUGACUAUGGGAUAAGCCUGGUAAACUGGGUGUAAUGAAGGAUAUGAAUUCUAAUCGCAUGGAGGGGGGAGGAGAGAUAUAUGGGUCUUGGGUGGACUCGCGGCUUAUCAGCGUGUUGGUGAGGUAAUGGCUAACCAAGGCGACGACUGGGAGACGGCCGGAGAGGGUGACCGGCCACCCUGCGCCUGCGAGACGCCGCAGUCUCCUACGGUACGCAGCAGUGGGGAAUAUUGCACAAUGGGCCCACGUCUGAUGCAGCGAUGCCGCGUUCGUGAUGCCGUCCUUCUGGUUGUAAACCUCUUUCUGUAGGGAUGAAGCCGGAGUGACGGUACCUGCAGAAGAAGCGCCGGCUAACUACGUG
rnacentral:rRNA from 1 species